CCAGUUCUGCUUUGCACUGUUUUAGAGCUCUUCUUUCUCAGACUCAUAGAGGUUCGGUUCGUUUUCUUAGGCCACUGUCAUGUGCAUCUGUGCUGUCUCAUUUCCCUGAAAGCUUUUCUCUAGCCCUGAGAUUGCUGCAGAAGAUGAUCUGAAACCUAACAGACAUGAUUUUGAACUCAGGCUGGCCUGGAACUCACUGUGUAGCCCAGGCUGGCCUUGUACUCUCAAUGAUCCUCCUGCCUCAGCCUCAGUGCUGGGAUUCUAGGAUGGAAGAAUAAAGUUACUAUCAUUUCAGUGCACAGUGUUUCAAAAUCUCACACUUACGAGGCAGGCUUUCCUGCUGUUACAUCCUUGUCAUCCAAAGUGGAUACCUCAGCUAGUUUGCUCCGGCUUGCUCCACCAGCUUUCCACCAGCCACCAGGACAGGGUGAGGAGGACACCCCCAGGUAGCCCCACCAGCUGAUGGCUGGGCCACACGGGUGCCUCCAACAAUACCCCACCCCCAACCCUGGCCUCUGGCCUUCUGGCUGUGCAGCUACUUGGUUACAUACUGCAGAGGCACAGGGGGACAAAAGCCAUUGUCUUAAGCUCCAGAAGUGAACAACAGAGAGAGUGCCUAUCUCAGGCUCCCUGAUGAAAAC
ensembl:lncRNA